GACGAACCGAGCGAACGUUGUUCGGAAUUACUGGGCGUAAAGGGCUCGUAGGUGGCCAACUAAGUCAGACGUGAAAUCCCUCGGCUUAACCGGGGAACUGCAUCUGAUACUGGAUGGCUUGAGUUUGGGAGAGGGAUGCGGAAUUCCAGGUGUAGCGGUGAAAUGCGUAGAUAUCUGGAGGAACACCGGUGGCGAAGGCGGCAUCCUGGACCGGCAUUGACGCUGAGGAGCGAAAGCCAGGGGAGCAAACGGG
rnacentral:rRNA from 1 species